rnacentral:SRP_RNA from 11 species
AGUUCUUCUGGAGGAGAACGGGGGAAACGGCAACAACGAAGAGACGCCAACUCCCAGGCUGGAGAUGGAGCAACCAAUCGAAUCGAUGGACCCCGACCAGCUCGCCGCAAAGAUCGCGGAGGA